rnacentral:rRNA from 1 species
GAUGAACGCUGGCGGCGUGCCUAAUACAUGCAAGUCGAGCGAACAGACGAGGAGCUUGCUCCUCUGACGUUAGCGGCGGACGGGUGAGUAACACGUGGAUAACCUACCUAUAAGACUGGGAUAACUUCGGGAAACCGGAGCUAAUACCGGAUAAUAUAUUGAACCGCAUGGUUCAAUAGUGAAAGACGGUUUUGCUGUCACUUAUAGAUGGAUCCGCGCCGCAUUAGCUAGUUGGUAAGGUAACGGCUUACCAAGGCAACGAUGCGUAGCCGACCUGAGAGGGUGAACUGCCACACUAGAACUGAGACACGGUCCAGACUCCUACGGGAGGCAGCAGUAGUGAAUCUUCCGCAAUGGGCGAAAGCCUGACGGAGCAACGCCGCGUGAGUGAUGAAGGUCUUCGGAUCGGAAAACUCUGUUAUUAGGGAAGAACAAAUGUGUAAGUAACUAUGCACGUCUUGACGGUACCUAAUCAGAAAGCCACGGCUAACUACGUG